UUUGCUUCAUUACAUCUUCCAAAUUAUAAUUACAAAUUUUUCCUAUUUAAGCAUCUUCUUGCACGGAGAUGGUUACAAAGAAAUUCCAAAGUAGCAAAAUCAAGGAAUAAUUCCCAAGUAGGAGCUUCUGAAACUGAUCAGGGUUAGCACAUAACAAAAACAGAAUCCUUAUGCAACCUUAUAGUAUAUCCAAAUGCAAGUCCACAAUGCUCCAAAGCAUCAAACAGACGAGUGCUAGAAUCUUGAACGAAUAAAGCCUUGAACAAGUAUGCAAUGUCCUUCUCCUUGAACUUCUCAGUAAGUCCCUACAAGAGAAACUGAUCCAUCAGACAUAUACCACUAUCAGAGUUCGAAUUAAAUUAUAUAACAAUCAUGAUCUCAAUUGCAGUUUCUAGGUGGUGAUUGAAAAGUCGGCUCGAAAUUUCUUUUCUUGUUUUGAUUUAACUCAGUUAAAAAAGAGAAACGAAAGACAAAAUAAAAAAAACAUAAUUAGCAACAAAAAAAAAAUUAAUAAAUAAAAAACACACAGAAAACAAAAAAGAGUGCUUUUCUAUUUUCUAAAAUAAUGGAAGUAGACAGAUCAAAUUUGUACAGUUGAACCAAAUUAAGACAUCUACUUGCAUCUCCUAAUUAGAGUAAUCCCUUCCUUCUCAAUUCUCAAAGAGUUUGCACAAAAUUUUAACCCAAAUGCUAGGAUUGAUACGAGUAAUUCUAUUGUUGUUUAGCAACAAAGUACCAAGUCGAUUUAGAUAGGGAAAAUUUUCAAGCUUACCUAUCUCAUUGUCAGACAAAUCAAUGCAGUCAAAUUGAUCCUGCAAAGGAACAGUACAUUAUUCCAUAAUGCUCAACUCUUUGCAAAUGAAAUCAACAGAUUAGAAGCAUUGCAAAGCUACAACAACUAUUAAAGACUUGAAAAGCCCAAAAAAUAAAAGAAAAAAUCAAUGGGGGAAGUUUAAUGAACUCACCUCAGUAGCAUCCACGUUCUCUAUAACAACAAUCUUACUGCCUAUACACACUAGAAUAUACAUCAAAUAAAACAACAUGCAAAGAAACUACAGUAAGACAUCUACCUGCCUCUCCCAAUUAGAGUAAUCCCUUCACAAAAUUUUCACCCAAAAUAAGAGUAUGUACAAAUUUUAGGGUUUUGGUAAUUUAGUCGUAUGAGAGAGUAAUGGUAGGAGGAGGAUGAUACUAAAUAGGAAGAUGAUACCUUGAAAGCCGAUGAUACCUUGUUCAGCGAAGCCAGAGUUCGGCGUCUGCAUUUGGCGUUUGAGAGAGAAUAUUGAUGCUAGAGAUGGAGUGUUUGGCAAAGUGAAAAGAGCAUGAAAAGUUCCGUGUAUUGACUUUUUUUUUUGUUUCUUUUCCUCUCUCAUACUGAUGUCGCACAGCCACAUCAGCCGGUCACUAAUAAUGUCCCCAAACCCCUGUCGCCCCAGAAUUAUUGUAUAUAAAAAUGAAAAUUCUAGGCGGAC
rnacentral:lncRNA from 1 species